AUGAAAGUAAAGGAUGCUGCCGACCGCAAUGAGGCUCUUGAAAAGGAGCGCUUAUCGGAGCGGGAAGACCUGAAGAAGGCCACCGCCGAAGCCAAGGAUGCCCGCUCUGCAAUGCGGGCUAUGAAGGAGGAGCUGCGCCAGGCCGGAGAGAUCGUGGCUGGCAAGCCUUUUCUGCUGCGUCGCCGAUUUAUGGAUGGAAAGUAUGCUCAAUUUGAGCGGCUGUGGAGUCCGGAGGAUCCGUAUAUGGACUUAGCUGCAAGUGCGACUGACGCCGUUAAGCACUUCCGGAGCCAGAAGGAUCAUAAGACGGAAGAGCUAUAUUGGUCUCAAUUCCACAGUCCGGAUCACCCACUUCCAUUGACAGACCGGUUGGCCGAAUGGGCCGAGCUAAAUAGAUUGUCCGGACUUGCCAUGACUGACAUCAUGGCCCAUGUCUGGCCAGAGAGGUCCAAGGCGACGAGCUAUUUUGGUUUAUUACAGCAAUUCCUUGGAGCGGUGCCGCGUAUAAAGGAGAUGAAGCGGUUGGCCUGUAUAGAGGGCGCGCGGAUGGCUCUUGCCCGUGUAAAGGCGUAUUGUCCAGAGAUGGACGCCACCGCUGUUGCUGCCCAGGGUUCGGAUGAAAACCGGCUCCCUGCCGAGCACUAUUUCGGGGAAGUUAUGCGUGGCGCUCAUGUAAUAGAGUCGCAGUGCUCGAAGAAUGUAACGUUCAAAUGA
rnacentral:rRNA from 1 species